rnacentral:rRNA from 1 species
GAAAAGAAACCAACAGGGAUUGCCCUAGUAACGGCGAGUGAAGCGGCAACAGCUCAAAUUUGAAAUCUGGCUUCGGCCCGAGUUGUAAUUUGCAGAGGAUGCUUCUGGCGCGGUGCCUUCCGAGUUCCCUGGAACGGGACGCCACAGAGGGUGAGAGCCCCGUAUGGUCGGACACCAAGCCUGUGUGAAGCUCCUUCGACGAGUCGAGUAGUUUGGGAAUGCUGCUCUAAAUGGGAGGUAAAUCUCUUCUAAAGCUAAAUACCGGCCAGAGACCGAUAGCGCACAAGUAGAGUGAUCGAAAGAUGAAAAGCACCUUGAAAAGGGGGUUAAAUAGUACGUGAAAUUGUUGAAAGGGAAGCACUUAUGACCAGACUUGGGCCGGGCGGCUCAUCAGGGGUUCUCCCCUGUGCACUCCGCCCGGCACAGGCCAGCAUCGGUUCUCGUGGGGGGAUAAGACCGUCAGGAACGUAGCACCCUCCGGGGUGUGUUAUAGCCUGGCGGACGAUACCCCCGUGGGGACCGAGGUCCGCGCUCCGCAAGGAUGCUGGCGUAAUGGUCAUCAGUGACCCGUCUU